rfam:Mus musculus chromosome 5, GRC primary reference assembly.
GGAGAGGUGGCUCAGUGGUUAAGAGCACUGACUGCUCUUCCAUAGGUCCUGAGUACAAUUCUCAGCAACCCCA